GUCUCCUCUCUCGUGAGCUCUCUCUCCCCCACGACCCCUCGCCGCUGCCGCCACCCACGCCAGCCGAUUCCGGCGAGUCCCGACGGCGGGUGACACACCAACGACUUCCCCUCGCGCCGCUCCUUCCUCCAUCCAUCCAAAUCCGUCGCUACAAGCCUUCCACGCUCGCUCCCGACCGUCAGCCGUGGCUAGGGUUUCAGGUGCGGCGUCCCUUCGUCGCCGGUGAGGCUCAGGCAGCAUCCGACGGCUUGUCUCAGCUUGGGGCAACUAGCAUUGGCGAGCAACCCUCCCCCGCUGCUAGGGUUUUGUCCUCCGCGUGCUGCUGCUCGAGCUCUGUCACUUCCUCCCAAGCGGGGCUUGUCUGGUUGAGCGGUGGCGGAGCAGGCCUGGGCGUGCGGCCACCAGAUCGGCACAGGCAUAGCAACAACGAGGAACAGUGGCGUUGGCGGAUGCCCUCACUCCCUUCUUAUGUCUUCUCUCUAUAUAUCCCUAGGCACAUCCUCUCUGAAUCAGGAACGUCUCUGGCGUCUUACUACUACACCUUAAUAUGUUUUGCAUGAUUUGCUUCAUGAAUUACUUUGAUGUGCCUACUUUGUGGAGAGACCUUUUUUUUCUUCCUAGAUGUUCAUCUUAGCUUACUACUGCCUGAUACCUGAACUUUGGAUUCUAAUCGGCAACAAGUAGUUGUAUUAUAGUCGCUUCAUGUCUUGAGAGUAAAGUUGAUAAAUCCGUACAUCAGUGUUCUGCCAAUUGAUUGCCAUGCAGUGGGUAGUACUCCAUUCCCUACUAAUGUAGAAACUGGAGACGCCUUCGUGCCAUGAUGUUUCUCAAUAGUAAGGUCUCCCUAGCUACCAUGGGGAGGUAUGAUCCACAUAUCUGAUUAUUUUAUUUGGCCGUGAAAUGUUAAUUGGACCCUUAUCUAAUUUUUACUUUGCUGGUGAAGGAGCACAGCUACCGGUGGUGUCCGGCGUGGACAAAUUAACUCAGGCUAGUAGCUUCUUCUGUUUCUCUGGAUUUAUUUUCUUUUUGCAGUUGGUGCUGUUCUACACAGAAAAGGCAUGCGAGUUUCUUAAUUUGCCGUUGUUAUUUCAGCACCAAGCAGUGAAACUAUAUUAAUUUUCAGUCUGUACGAUUAGUUUUUGAUGCGGAACCUUUUAGAAUCUCAGAAUUUUCAGUCCGCCUCAUGGACGGUCCUCCCACGCCCGAUGGCCAUGAGGUGCACGCGGUGCAUUGGGCCAUGCCUUCUUUGCACCGGACCCAAGCGCAAGCCGAUGAGCUUGAUGAGGACAUCGUCGUGAUCUUGACCUCGACUACUUCCUACACAAAGUUGUGCCUCUGCCCCUCUCCCUGCCGGUGCUCUAGACUGGUUUUGAUUUAUCUUGUUGGUUGGGAAACUAUCAAAUCUGUUUUGGGUGCUACACGCUGCUGUUUUGAGAGAUUUCAGACUUUUGUUAUGUUGUGUGCACACAAACAUGCAACAUUGCUUCCUAAAUAUAGAGCAAUCCUUUGAUUCAUUUUUGUUCCAGCAAGAAGUAUCUAUAUCCUGUUUCUAGGGAUUCAUGUUGGGGAUAUCAAAAUUAGUCAUUGCUCAAUGGAGCCAUACAAAUAAUUGCCCAGCAAAAUUUAACUUACAUACCCUAAACUAUGAUUAAUACAUAAUUAUGAGCAUUUUUCCUACUUUACCAAAGAUUGCCAUGGUGCAUGUGUUGAAACCGAAAAUAUACAAGUGAGAUUUCUUUUCUUGUUGCCUAUAUUCAGAGGUUGUUUCUGACGAUUCAUUGGUCAUUUAUUUUGCAGAGAUCUGCUUGCAGUUCAUACUUCAUUGGUAGCAUAGUUUAAUGUACUAUCUAUCAUGUAUGUAUAUGAUGACUCCUUUUAUCCUUGAAGGCAUUGGAUUUCUUAAAGGGAAAUGUUAAUGAUGGUGUAUGAAAUGGUGCUUGUCAAAUAUAGGUGGAAAGCUUGACAUGGAGGAGCCACAGAGGUUUGCAGAAUAUGUUUCUAGGUUGGUCCUUGAGAGGGAGACUGAAGCAAACUCCAACAUGUUUCAGGCAUCAUUGAAGACUUUCUUGUCGCCGUCCCUCCCCGGUGAUCUUGAGGGACAAAUCAGGGUCAGCUAUAAAAUCAAGAAGAAGACAGUGAGGAGUGAUGGGUCUGCAGGUACCUAUUAGAAGAUGGCCUGAGGCAAAUGGUGUUGUGAAGAAACUGGAGAAGGACGAGUCGCUGGACUGGGACAGGACAAGUACAUCAAGGAGAACAACAAAAUGCUUAGAGCUAAUUGUCACAGGAUUCAUUGUCUGCUUGGAUUCCUUUCUGUCUUUGCUCAUCAUUAUGCCUGCAAGAAUUGUGAUGACUGCUUGGCGAGUUGAAAACUAGAUUAGUCAGGGUGUGUAUUGCUAUGGGAGAGGAGCUCCCAACUCACGCCCUAGAGUGUGAGGAGGAAGCAGGGGGCGGUGGCCUUGGAGAGAGGGUUGGGCGUUUGCGACAGCGGAGGAGGAGCCACGCUUGCUUGGCUGCAACGACUGCUCAGAGUGGAGGUGGAGCGAAGCAGCGGGUUCAGGCAAGGCCUGGCUGAGGGCAACGAGUUUAGGGGCAGCCGUGCCUUGCAUACUUCCCGGGUAACUUGUGCUAGCUUUUAGAUUAUUCAUCUUCGUUUUACCCUGUGAAAGAUCUGCUCGGAUUAGUUAUGAAAGGACACAACUCAGCUGCUCUAAUCUUGUUUUUUAA